rnacentral:rRNA from 1 species
CGACGAGUUUGAUCCUGGCUCAGAUUGAACGCUGGCGGAAUGCUUUACACAUGCAAGUCGAACGGUAGAGGGGGCAACCCCUCGAGAGUGGCGAACGGGUGAGUAAUAUAUCGGAACGUGCCCAGUCGUGGGGGAUAACGUAGUGAAAAUUACGUUAAUACCGCAUACGAUCUCAGGAUGAAAGCGGGGGACUCGCAAGAGCCUCGCGCGAUUGGAGCGGCCGAUAUCAGAUUAGGUAGUUGGUGGGGUAAAGGCUCACCAAGCCAACGAUCUGUAGCUGGUCUGAGAGGACGACCAGCCACACCGGAACUGAGACACGGUCCGGACUCCUACGGGAGCAGCAGUGGGGAAUAUUGCGCAAUGGGGGCAACCCUGACGCAGCCAUGCCCGCGUGUGUGAAGAAGGCCUGCGGGUUGUAAACGCACUUUCGGUAGGGAAGAUUAGUGACGGUACCUACAGAAGAAGCACCGGCUAACUUCGUGCCAGCAGCCGCGGUAAUCUGAUGGCGCGA